GUUGCGGUAUAACAAAUAAUUAAAACACAACCAGGAAGUUCUUUAAAAUGCAAAAAAAAUGAGAUGAUAUUACUGGUUUGAACAUCAAUUUAAUCAAAUGAUUUGGAACGAUUUUAACUGUCAUGGAAAGUGGAUAUGAAAUAAAUACAGAUUCUUUUGAAACGUAUGGUAUCCAAACAGCUAAACUAUUUGAUGAACUCUACCCCUGGUACUGUAUGCCUCCAUCUGUACAUAACAUUUUAUUUCAUGGAGCUGAUGUUAUCCGGCAUGCAAUUUUGCCAAUUAGCCAAUUGUCUGAAGAAGCUCAAUAAUGCCAAAACAAAAAUUACAAAAACUACAGGGAACAUCACAAAAGAAAAUUAUCCAGAGUGAAAAUUUAUGAAGAUCUCAUUAACAUGUUGCUACAUUAAUACCGUCAAUGCAAAACAUUCAACCCAAAAUAUUGCAAACAUUUUCAGACGAUGCAAAACUUUUAAUAAUAAUGCCUGAAGAGCAAGCAAGUGAUUCUAACCACUGUGCGCCGUCGCCGCCUGCAAAUGGGACUUUAAGAUUAUAUAAUUACUCCGUGAAAUUACUAUUGUUUUCUUUAGUUGAUAUUUGCUGAGUCAAAUGACAAUUACAUUAAUAUUUAUUAUGCUCAAUAUUAUAUAAGAUGAUUAAA